rnacentral:rRNA from 1 species
UAGGGAAUAUUGGUAAUGGGCGAAAGCCUGAACCAGCAACGCCGCGUGUGCGAUGAAGGCCUUCGGGUCGUAAAGCACUUUUUGGAGGGAUGAGGAAGGACAGUACCUCCAGAAUAAGCCUCGGCUAACUACGUGCCAGCAGCCGCGGUAACACGUAGGAGGCAAGCGUUAUUCGGAUUUACUGGGCGUAAAGCGCGUGCAGGCGGUUCGGAAAGUUGGAUGUGAAAGCUCCUGGCUUAACUGGGAGAGGUCGUUCAAUACUUCCGGACUUGAGAGUGGGAGAGGGAGGUGGAAUUCCGGGUGUAGCGGUGGAAUGCGCAGAUAUCCGGAGGAACACCAGUGGCGAAAGCGGCCUCCUGGACCAUUCCUGACACUCAGACGCGAAAGCUAGGGUAGCAAACGG